rnacentral:rRNA from 1 species
GCAAGGAAUUUUGUGCAAUGGGCGAAAGCCUGACACAGCAACGCCGCGUGAGGGAUGAAGGCCUUCGGGUUGUAAACCUCUUUUCUCAGGGAAGAAUAAUGACGGUACCUGAGGAAUAAGCUUCGGCUAACUACGUGCCAGCAGCCGCGGUAAUACGUAGGAAGCGAGCGUUAUCCGAAUUUACUGGGCGUAAAGUGGGCGUAGGCGGCCUUUCAAGUUGGAUGUGAAAUCUCCUGGCUUAACUGGGAGGGGUCAUCCAAUACUGCUAGGCUGGAGGGCAGCAGGAGAAAGCGGAAUUCCCGGUGUAGUGGUGAAAUGCGUAGAUAUCGGGAGGAACACCAGUGGCGAAGGCGGCUUUCUAGGCUGUUUCUGACGCUGAGGCCCUAAAGUGUGGGGAGCGAACAGGAUUAGAAACCCCUGUAGUCC